AAUCAGUCAAUCUGAUUUUUCUUACAGACAUGGGUUAACUCGAAUUAUUAAAUGAUCCAAUUAAAAAAUGAUUGACCAAAUCGGCCAGGUAAGUGAGAUCGAUGGAAGGGAUAUGCCAUUAACUCGACAAAGAUGCAUCAGUGCGAGUAACUCCCAAUUAAAAACCACCGGUCGAGUCUGCCAAACUUACCUUAGACACCGACUGGUUAAUUAAUUUUGAUUUUGACCAUCCUAAUAACUCGGGCUCAACCACGGAGCUUAAAUCAAGUUCCAUCUUGGUCUAAUCAAAGACAUGGAACCGAUCAAUCUAUAACUAUUAUAAAUUGAAUUGAGUUAUCUUGAUUUGAUCUAAUUACUACUUAGUUAGAUUUAAUCAAUUAACUCAAUCAUUCCAUGAUUUGAUUCUAACCUUAGGUCUAACCUAAUUAGAGAACUUGACUUGAGCAAAUC
rnacentral:lncRNA from 1 species